rnacentral:rRNA from 1 species
CCCUUAGAUGUUCUGGGCCGCACACGCGCUACACUGAAGGAGGCAGCGUGUUCUCCUGGAUCGAAAGAUUUGGGUAACCCGCGAAUCUCCUUCGUGCUAGGGAUUGAGGUUUGCAAUUAUCCUUCAUGAACGAGGAAUUCCCAGUAAGUGCAAGUCAUAAGCUUGCGCUGACUACGUCCCUGCCCUUUGUACACACCGCCCGUCGCUACUACCGAUUGAAUGAUUUAGUGAGGACUUCGGACUGGGACCGAUGCGGCUUUCGGGCUGCGUCGGUAUUCUGGAAAGAUGUCCAAACUGUAUCAUUUAGAGGAAGUAAAAGUCGUAACA